CAGCCGCCACGGUAAUACGUAGGUGGCGAGCGUUGUCCGGAAUUAUUGGGCGUAAAGGGAGCGCAGGCGGACAUAUAAGUCCAUCUUAAAAGUGCGGGGCUCAACCCCGUGAGGGGAUGGAAACUGUAUGCCUUGAGUGUAGGAGAGGAAAGCGGAAUUCCCAGUGUAGCGGUGAAAUGCGUAGAUAUUGGGAGGAACACCAGUGGCGAAGGCGGCUUUCUGGACUGUAACUGACGCUGAGGCUCGAAAGCCAGGGGAGCGAACGGGAUUAGAUACCCCAGUAGUCCCUGUCUCUUAUACA
rnacentral:rRNA from 1 species